rnacentral:rRNA from 1 species
AUGCCUCGGCCUCGGCCGCCCCGUGCUCUGCCGGCGCCCGUCGGCCUCGAUCCGGCCUCGGCAGGAGGAGCUCGCCCUCGAGACAGGAGGAGGGGAGCAGCAGGAUACAGGAGCAUGGCCUUCUUCUCGCGCUGCAGCCGCCGGCCUUGUCCUGCUCGAGGAGGAGGAGGAGCAGGAGGGGCGCACCCAGCCACCAAGGUAGCCGUCGUCGAGGGCUUCUUACACCUGAACCUCGAUCUCCACGGUGCUGGCGUCCAGCAACUCGAGUUCAAGGUGCCCCCCUCCCCUCUCCCCCCUCUCCGUUUGGUUCUUUUCGGCAGCCGUGGAUGUGGUUUCCCCCUCAACCCUCCCUGUUUUCUUUGUUUUGUUGGUGGAUGCAGGGAAGGAGAGGAUGAUGACGCCCAGACAUGGAGAGGAACAACAGCAGCUCAAGUGCCUGCUUAUAAUGUGGUGAAGCUACAGGAAAGAGGGAGGAAGCCGGCGACAGGGUGA